GAUGAAGAACGCAGCGAAAUGCGAUAAGUAGUGUGAAUUGCAGAAUUCAGUGAAUCAUCGAAUCUUUGAACGCACAUUGCGCCCCUUGGUAUUCCAUGGGGCAUGCCUGUUCGAGCGUCAUUUGUACCCUCAAGCACAGCUUGGUCUUGGGCUUCGCCGCUAACCCGGCGGGUCUUAAAAUCAGUGGCGGUGCCGUCGGGCCCUGAGCGCAGUGAUCUCUCUCGCUAUAGGGUCCCGGCGGAUGCUGGCCAGUAACCCCCAAUUUUCUAUGGUUGACCUCGGAUCAGGUAGGGAUACCCGCUGAACUUAAGCAUAUCAAUAAGCGGAGGA
rnacentral:misc_RNA from 1 species